GGCAACAUUUCAUUUCUUUUUCAUCUCUCAUUUUACUCGCUUUUUCUUCACAUUCAUAAGCCACAAACACUCAUAUUAACUUGAUUCUUUUCAUCUCUCAUUCUACUCUCUUAUUCUUCAAAAUCGAAAGCCACACACACUUGUAUUGAGCUAGUUAUCGAAACGUAAAAUAAUUUGCAGAAGGCGAGGGGGAAACUUCUACAAUUGAAGUAGGUUGUCACUACGUGCUUGAAAGAGGGAAUAUCGAGUUGAUAUGUUUUCUACUUAUUCCCUGCAAGUUAGAUUUUGCUAGAUCCUUGAAUGGAACCGUUAAAGAUCUCUAUGUUAAUUGUGAAGCAUUUUUGGGCUUGAAUAUUUUGGACUUCAAGAGACACAAAGUGCCAUGUUAGCGCCACAUCAACACCACAUCAGCACCUUAGAUACCUAUUUUUGUAUUAUCUGUUUUUGUCAUUUUGGGCUAGACACUUGGAUUGGGGGCCAUUUGACUUUUCUAGGGUAUUAGGACUUAGGGUUGACCAUGCAGCCACCAACUUUUAGACCUUGAUGUGACCACAUUUUUGCUUCUUCUUUUUUUUACGUUUCUUCUGUUCUGUUGCUUUUGCUUUUACGUUUUUCUUCUGCUUCUUCUCUAGUUGUAUCAAAAACUGCACUUUUAC